rnacentral:rRNA from 1 species
AUGACAAGGCCGAAGAAAGAUGGGGGGAUGGGAUUCAGAGACAUCUAUGGAUUUAAUUUAGCCAUGUUGGCCCGACAGGCUUGGCGCAUGCUGUCCACGCCGGAUUCCUUGUGCGCCCGAGUGCUAAAGGCAAGAUAUUUCCCAAACACUUCCAUUCUUGAUGCAAUACCACACCCGGGCAUCUCCUAUACAUGGAGGAGCAUUUUGAAGGGGGUG